rnacentral:miRNA from 10 species
AGACUCUAGCUCUGGUUACACA